UACGGAGGUGGCAAGCGUUGCUCGGAAUCGACUGGGCGUAAAGGGCGCGUAGGCGGGGAGGGUAAGUCGGGUGGUGAAAUACCCUCGGCCCAACCGAGGAACUGCGCCCGAGACUGCUUCUCUUGAGUCCCGGAGAGGAAGGUGGAAUUCCCGGUGUAGCGGUGAAAUGUGUAGAGAUCGGGAGGAACACCGGUGGCGAAGGCGGCCUUCUGGACGGUGACUGACGCUGAGGAGCGGAAGCUAGGGGAGCAAACGGG
rnacentral:rRNA from 1 species